rnacentral:lncRNA from 1 species
GAGUUCAAGAUGCCUAUGGGUCAAGUGGAGUGAUGUAAUAGAAGCAAAAGAAACAGUCUUGAUUGUUUUCUUUAGAUAAAUGUAGUGUGAUAUAAUGUUCUAAGCCAAGAACCUUAUAGCACAGAAGCCUUCACAAGGAUACCAGUAAAGGCAGUGCUGCUGUGGAGUUAGAAGAAUCUGGAGUGUGAGAAGUGGAACUAGUAGUAAAAAUAACUCUGAAACAUGGAGCUGUGUUCUGGCUGGCAUGCUUCAAAGAGUGAAACUUCAGUGGAGAAUGAA